rnacentral:rRNA from 1 species
CCUACGGGGGGCUGCAGUGAGGAAUAUUGGUCAAUGGGCGCGAGCCUGAACCAGCCAAGUAGCGUGAAGGAUGAAGGCCCUACGGGUUGUAAACUUCGUUUAUAAAGGAAUAAAGUGAGGCACGUGUGCCUUUUUGUAUGGACUUUAUGAAUAAGGAUCGGCUAACUCCGGGCCAGCAGCCGCGGUCAUACGGAGGAUCCGAGCGUUAUCCGGAUUUAUUGGGGUUAAAGGGAGCGUAGAUGGGUUGUUAAGUCAGUUGUGUAAGUUUGCGGCUCAACCGGAAAAUUGCCAUUGAUACUGGCAGCCUUGAUUUCAGUUGAGGUAGGCGGAAUUCGCGGUGUAGCGGUGAUAUGCUUAGAUAUCACGCAGAACUCCGAUUGCGAAGGCAGCCUACU